AUUGAACGCUGGCGGCAUGCCUUACACAUGCAAGUCGAACGGCAGCACGGGGGCAACCCUGGUGGCGAGUGGCGAACGGGUGAGUAAUGCAUCGGAACGUGUCCUCUUGUGGGGGAUAACCAGUCGAAAGAUUGGCUAAUACCGCAUGAGAUCGAAAGAUGAAAGCGGGGGACCGCAAGGCCUCGCGCGAGAGGAGCGGCCGAUGCCGGAUUAGCUAGUUGGUGGGGUAAUGGCCCACCAAGGCGACGAUCCGUAGCUGGUCUGAGAGGACGACCAGCCACACUGGGACUGAGACACGGCCCCAGACUCCUACGGGAGGCAGCAGUGGGGAAUUUUGGACAAUGGGCGCAAGCCUGAUCCAGCCAUGCCGCGUGUGUGAAGAAGGCCUCGGGUUGUAAAGCACUUUCGGACGGAACGAAAUCGCGCGCAUGAACAAUGCGCGUGGAUGACGGUACCGUAAGAAGAAGCACCGGCUAACUACGUGCCAGCAGCCGCGGUAAUACGUAGGGUGCAAGCGUUAAUCGGAAUUACUGGGCGUAAAGGGUGCGCAGGCGGCCUCGCAUGUCAGACGUGAAAUCCCCGGGCUCAACCUGGGAAUGGCGCUUGAAACUACGGGGCUGGAGUGUGGCAGAGGGAGGUGGAAUUCCACGUGUAGCGGUGAAAUGCGUAGAGAUGUGGAGGAACACCGAUGGCGAAGGCAGCCUCCUGGGCCAACACUGACGCUCAUGCACGAAAGCGUGGGGAGCAAACAGGAUUAGAUACCCUGGUA
rnacentral:rRNA from 1 species